rnacentral:rRNA from 1 species
GACGAACGCUGGCGGCGUGCUUAACACAUGCAAGUCGAACGGUGAAGCGCCUUCCUUUUUGGUGGGUGUGGAUGAGUGGCGAACGGGUGAGUAACACGUGAGUAACCUGCCCCCUUCUUCUGGAUAACCGCAUGAAAGUGUGGCUAAUACGGGAUAUUCUGGGUCUGUCGCAUGAUGGGUCUGGGAAAGAUAUUGUUUCGGUGGGGGAUGGGCUCGCGGCCUAUCAGCUUGUUGGUGGGGUGAUGGCCUACCAAGGCGGUGACGGGUAGCCGGCCUGAGAGGGUGGACGGUCACACUGGGCCUGAGACACGACCCAGACUCCUACGGGAGGCAGCAGUGGGGAAUAUUGCACAAUGGGCGCAAGCCUGAUGCAGCGACGCCGCGUGAGGGAUGGAGGCCUUCGGGUUGUGAACCUCUUUCGCCAGUGAAGCAGGCCUGCCUCGUUUGUGGGUGGGUUGACGGUAGCUGGAUAAGAAGCGCCGGCUAACUACGUG